rnacentral:rRNA from 1 species
GACGAACGCUGGCGGCGUGCUUAACACGUGCAAGUCGAGCGGAAAGGCCCUGCUUUUGUGGGGUGCUCGAGUGGCGAACGGGUGAGUAACACGUGAGUAACCUGCCCUUGACUUUGGGAUAACUUCAGGAAACUGGGGCUAAUACCGGAUAGGAGCUCCUGCUGCAUGGUGGGGGUUGGAAAGUUUCGGCGGUUGGGGAUGGACUCGCGGCUUAUCAGCUUGUUGGUGGGGUAGUGGCUUACCAAGGCUUUGACGGGUAGCCGGCCUGAGAGGGUGACCGGCCACAUUGGGACUGAGAUACGGCCCAGACUCCUACGGGAGGCAGCAGUGGGGAAUAUUGCACAAUGGGCGGAAGCCUGAUGCAGCAACGCCGCGUGCGGGAUGAAGGCCUUCGGGUUGUAAACCGCUUUCGCCUGUGACGAAGCGUGAGUGACGGUAAUGGGUAAAGAAGCACCGGCUAACUACGUG